rnacentral:rRNA from 1 species
UACAGGGGGGCAAGCGUUGUUCGGAAUUACUGGGCGUAAAGGGCCAGUAGGCGGCUAACUAAGUCCGACGUGAAAUCCCCAGGCUUAACUUGGGAACUGCGUCGGAUACUGGUUGGCUUGAAUUCGGGAGAGGGAUGCAGAAUUCCAGGUGUAGCGGUGAAAUGCGUAGAUAUCUGGAGGAAUACCGGUGGCGAAGGCGGCGCACUGGACCAUAACUGACGCUGAUGCGCGAA